UUCGCUGGUAAUAUAUUUAUAAAUAAGCUACAGGCACAGUUACAGGGAUUUUACCGUCUUUUUCCGAGCGAAUUGAUUCAGAUUCUAGUUGUUGCUUGGAUCGCAUCCAACCAUUCUGACCGUGUCGAAUUCUACUCGCGUGUAUUCCUGACUGAAUUCGCCGGUAGAAAGUCUCGCUAAUUUAGAAGUUUGCUAUUUGUGGAAUUUCUUAUCGAAUGGUAAAUCGAAAAUGCUAGUUGGAGAAAUAGCAAAGCGACGCGCACAGGGUGACUUAUGGAUUACCAUAAAAUCUGAUUGUAAGCCAAUGUCGAAAGCUGAAUAUGUGCAGUGGAAUUUUGCUUAUGAAUGCUUGAAUGAACGCUUAUGAAUGAAUAUCGAGAGUACCGAUAUUAUUAUCUUCACACCUGUCGAAAAUAUAACGUCGAACACCUACGAUAACAACGGCGAGCAAUCUAAAUAAAGAAACAGGAAAUGUUAGUU
rnacentral:misc_RNA from 1 species